rnacentral:rRNA from 1 species
ACUAGCAGAAAAAAGGUAAUACCUUCAGAGAAACCUUUGCUCUUUGGCGGCCUUUUAUUAUUCAGAGGAACUUGUCAAAUAAUCGAAAUUACCCGAUCAAUCUCACUCUCCUUCAGUCUUUAUACCGUCGUCUAAAGAACUCAUUAUCACAUAAAGUUCAAAACCGGAACAUCCACCCAAGUCAGAUCAAGGUGAAGCGUAUAGAAGAGGUCUGAUGAGUUAUUCAUAAAAAGAAUUUAAGGAAGCUGUAAAAAAAGACAGACCAAUCAAGAUUUGAAAGUACCCCAAGAUUAUAAUUCUUAGGGAAAAUAACAAAAAAGGUGU